rnacentral:rRNA from 1 species
GACAGAGGUGCCGAGCGUUAGGCGGAAUCACUGGGCUUAAAGCGUGUGUAGGCGGAUGGGUAAGUACCUUGUGAAAUCCCACGGCUCAACCGUGGAACUGCUCGGUAUACUGCUCGUCUUGAGCCAACUAGGGGCGACCGGAACAAACGGUGGAGCGGUGAAAUGCGUAGAUAUCAUUUGGAACGCCGAUGGUGAAAACAGGUCGCUGGGGUUGUGCUGACGCUGAGACACGAAAGCCAGGGGAGCGAACGGG